UUAAUUUGGUCGGAAAUUCGUAAUUGUGCUAAUUUGGGUUUUCUGAGCUGAUUAAGUGUAUUUUGGUUGCAGGGAAAUUUUGGGAAACAUCAUUUGGAGCAUUAGGGAUGGUGGCAUGAUCAUUCAAGACUCAACAUUUAGUCAUUUCCAUUUUAAUUAAGUUGUAAUUUCCUUUUUAGAAACUUUAAUUAGGACUAAGUGCAUUUGGGCCCUUUUUGUGGCAAAUUUUAUAGAAGCCCAAUGUGUAGGACACUUGGCACCAAACCCUAGGGUUUCUAGGAGGUGGACCCCACCUAUUUUGAUGGUUGGACGACAUUUAUUAGUGCUAUUGCCGAGACACACUCCUUAGCACACUUCAUACUACACUUUCAUUUUGCUUUGCCUUGUAUGAACUCUCUCUUGGGAGCUUUGGUGUGCCCUUUU
rnacentral:lncRNA from 1 species